GGUUCUUUAGCAACAUUUAACAUUCUAAAAUAAUGUGGAGCGUUUCUCAGUGUUCUAAAUGGAAAGUAAUUGCUGCUUUCUCAUUUUCAUUUUUCAUUCUUGCAUUUACUUUGCUUGGUUUCUACCUAAAGUAGUUUUUUGCAUGACUUUUGGCUGGAAUUUUGGUUUGCAGGUGACCGCAACUUUUUCUUUGCUUCAUUGCCAUUUUUUCUGAUUGCCUGUUUUUUUCUUUCUGCUUCCUUUUUCUUUCCUCGCAUUGCCAUCUACAGCCAGGCUAUAUAAGAGAUUUGGUAAGUUCACCAUAUUUACCAAAAAAGAAAAAGAAUAAAUAAAAAUUCAUAGCCACAACCUUCCCUCAUGGAAUUUACCCCAGUAGUGAAAUUUAAAUUUAAAAUAGAAAUGAUUAUGGUGAUUUCAAGUACCUUAAAGCUGCUAACAAAUAUUCCUGCUAGAAACAUGUAUUCCAGGUAUUCAUUCUGAUUAUAGAUGUAGUGCUAAAUUUAAUUAAAACUCAUGUAUAUGUGGAUUAGAAUGUGCUGUUCUGUAAUAGUAGUACCGUUAUGUGUAUGCAUUUGGAAUAUGUCUCAAGUGUGGCAACUAUGUACUCCUAGUAGUACUUUUUGUUGAUAUAUGAAAACUGAAAUUGACUUAUUUUGAAAAAUCGUUAUACAUUACGUUAUUACAAUGUCCAAAUGUAGCUUCAGAUAUUUUGAUUUCAACUCUUAAAAUAUGAUUUUGGGGUAUGAGGUGCGUAAUUCAAUCUUUUGAUCUUUCGUCUCAGUUCUCCCAUGAGAGAAUAAUGUUCAAUGGUAAAGGUGAUGUUUAAUCAUGUUUAGAUAACAGCGAGAAUCUUGGAGGCCCAUCAGAAUGUAGCUCAGAUGAGUCUAAUUGAAGCCAAGAUGAGAUUUAUUCAAGCUUGGCAGUCAUUACCUGAAUUUGGCAUCACUCAUUUCAUUGCAAGGUUCCAAGGGGGCAAAAAAGAAGAGCUUAUUGGAAUUGCAUACAACAGACUGAUUCGGAUGGACGCCAGCACUGGAGAUGCAAUUAAAACAUGGCGUUUCAGCAACAUGAAACAGUGGAAUGUCAACUGGGAAAUCAAAAUGGUCACCGUAGAGUUUGCAGAUGAAGUACGAUUGUCCUUCAUUUGUACUGAAGUAGAUUGCAAAGUGGUUCAUGAAUUCAUUGGUGGCUACAUAUUUCUCUCAACACGUGCAAAAGACCAAAAUGAGAGUUUAGAUGAAGAGAUGUUCUACAAACUUACCAGUGGUUGGGUGUGAAUAGAAAUACUGUUUAAUGAAACUCCACGGCCAUAACAAUAUUUAACUUUAAAAGCUGUUUGUUAAUAUGCUGCUUAAUAAAGUAAGCUUGAAAUUUAUCAUUUUAUCAUGAAAACUUCUUUGCCUUACCAGACCAGUUAAUAUGUGCACUAAACAAGCACGACUAUUAAUCUAUCAUGAUAUAAUAAACUUGAAUUUGGCACACAUUCCUUAGGGCCAUGAAUUGAAAACUGAAAUAGUGGGCAAAUCAGGAACAAACCAUCACUGAUUUAAGCUAGCCAAACUGUAAGAAAGAAACAAGCCAUCUAUUUUAAAGCUAUCCAGGGCUUAACCUAUAUGAACUCUAUUUAUCAUGUCUAAUGCAUGUGAUUUAAUGUAUGUUUAAUUUGAUAUCAUGUUUUAAAAUAUCAUACUUCUGGUAGCCAUUUAAUUCCUCCCCCUACCCCCAAAUAAAUCAGGCAUGCAGGAGGCCUGAUAUUUAGUAAUGUCAUUGUGUUUGACCUUGAAGGAAAAUGCUAUUAGUCCGUCGUGCUUGAUUUGUUUUUGUCCUUGAAUAAGCAUGUUAUGUAUAUUGUCUCGUGUUUUUAUUUUUACACCAUAUUGUAUUACACUUUUAGUAUUCACCAGCAUAAUCACUGUCUGCCUAAAAUAUGCAACUCUUUGCAUUACAAUAUGAAGUAAAGUUCUAUGAAGUAUGCAUUUUGUGUAACUAAUGUACAAACACAAAUUUUAUAAAAUUGUACAGUUUUUUAAAAACUACUCACAACUAGCAAAUGGCUUAAAUGUAGCAAUCUCUGCAUUAAUUAAAUGCCUUUAAGAGAUAUAAUUAACGUGCAGUUUUAGUAUCUACUAAAUUAAGAAUGACUUCAUUAUGAUCAUGAUUUGCCACAAUGUCCUUAACUCUAAUGCCUGGACUGGCCAUGUUCUAGUCUGUUGCGCUGUUACAAUCUGUAUUGGUGCUAGUCAGAAAAUUCCUAGCUCACAUAGCCCAAAAGGGUGCGAGGGAGAGGUGGAUUACCAGUAUUGUUCAAUAAUCCAUGGUUCAAAGACUGUAUAAAUGCAUUUUAUUUUAAAUAAAAGCAAAACUUUUAUUUAAU
rnacentral:sRNA from 1 species